ensembl:lncRNA
GUUUGCUGUUAGUUUGUUUAGAGGCAAAACAUUGACAUACUGUGGUGGAUUUAUAAUUUUCUAUUUGUACUUUUUGACCAGCCAGGUCAAUUAAGAACAACAGCUUCUUAUUUAUAAUGAUGGGUUGGCUGGCUGGUGUUUGGACUGCAAUCAGAAACGGAGAGAACCCCCGUCUUCAACAAAACAUGCAUUUCAGUGAAUACUAAUAAAGAACCAGGUGUAUCAAACCUCCGAGGGGCCAUAUUCUGACGGGCAGGACAACAGGAAUCUCAUCACCACUGCUACCUUCAAGUACUAGGCUAAUAACACUCCCACUAUGCUCAUCUGGUCCACACUGUUGGCCUGGGAUGUUAGGCUUUUCCCUGGUCUCCCCUGAAGAGAGUCCUAUUAUGGAUCAAUGUGAAAUAGGUUAGUUUCUGGAAACCGUGACCCAGCAUGCUGAGGAUUCAUUUGGGGAAUUGUGACACACAGGGGAAGGCUCAUGUAUCACAAACAAACAUUGAUAUUGGGUAUCAAGACAG